UACAAAAUCUUGUCAUACAUUUUAAAUAUGCAGUGUAUAUUCAAAACAUUUAAUAAAUACACAUUAUAUAAAAAAAAUCUUAUAUUUAGAAGAUAAACUGUACCUUCAGUCAAUAAAUUUAUCAAAGAACGGAAAAAUAUUACAAAAAGAACAUGUAAAAAAAAUAGAAGAAAGGAUCCUCAAAAAUUAAAAUUAAAGAAAAUCAAAGAUCAAGGACAAAAAAUCAUUUCUAAAAAAAUUUCAACGCUCCCACCGUUGUUUCCAGUCAAAGAGAUUAAAGAUGCUAAACAAAACAAAACAGUCUUAAAUGAUACUGCGGAUAAAUUUCCGGAAAUGGAAUCAUCAAAAAUUGUAUCUCCAACCAAGAACUUGAGAAAAAGUAAAUUAAACAAAAUAUUAAUUUAACUAUUUAUUUAAUUUUUAAAUAAAUACAAUAUUUUAACUUAUUUUUCACAAGGAAUCCUACCACAAAUUGUCUCGAUUACUCCCGCAAACGUAACACUGUCAAAUUUUAGUUGUACCACAGGAAAAAAACCAAAAUUGCAAGAGGAAAUACUAUCAGAAAAAAAUUUAAUAAUAUCAACUGAAAUAAUUACAGAGAAUAGCUCUCAAGAAAAAACAUAUUCUGAGAAAUCAGUGGAAAUUACAAUUAAAGGAAAAAAUCCAAACAAUGAAAAUUCUGAAAAAAGAGAAACGAUGCUUGAUAAUCUCCGUUCAUCUAGUGAAGAUAUUUUAGAAGAUGUUAAAUUUGUAAAAAAGCCAAGAAUUAAAAAAAUGUUCAA